AGUUGAUCAUGGCUCAGGAUGAACGCUGGCGGCGUGCCUAAUACAUGCAAGUCGAACGAAUCUCUUUUAGAGAUGAGUGGCGAACGGGUGAGUAACGCGUAGGAAUCUACCUGGUAGUGGGGGACAACUUGGGGAAACUCAAGCUAAUACCGCAUACGCCCUAUGGGGGAAAGUGGGGGACCUUCGGGCCUCACGCUAUCAGAUGAGCCUGCGUAGGAUUAGCUAGUUGGUGAGGUAAAGGCUCACCAAGGCGACGAUCCUUAGCUGGUCUGAGAGGAUGAUCAGCCACACUGGGACUGAGACACGGCCCAGACUCCUACGGGAGGCAGCAGUGGGGAAUAUUGCGCAAUGGGGGCAACCCUGACGCAGCCAUGCCGCGUGUGUGAAGAAGGCCUUCGGGUUGUAAAGCACUUUCAAUUGGGAAGAAAAGCUGGUUGUUAAUAGCGGCCAGCCCUGACAUUACCUUUAGAAGAAGCACCGGCUAACUCCGUG
rnacentral:rRNA from 1 species